UGGGGGAUCGUCUAACGGUAGGACAGCGGCCUUUGGAGCCGUUAAUCGGGGUUCGAAUCCCUGUCCCCCAGCCA
rnacentral:tRNA from 1 species